CAGGUGAACACACAGAGGCUGAGUACAGCGCCCCCUGCGGCUCAGCCCCUGACGCCGACACGAUGGAAAAUUCCCGCUGAAGCCCCCACCCCUGCUGGGCAGCCCCCUCCCCUCCCGUUCCGAGAGCCCCGCGCCGGCAGCCGACGCCCCAGGAUCGGGGGGGCACGGACAGGCCUCAUCUCAGCUUCUGCUCUUCCCCGAACCAGCUGCACUAUCCCCCUUAGCACCUUCUUCAGCCAAUGCCUCCCCGUUCGCUCUGCAAACAUCCCACCUGCUCUCCCAUCUCUCAGCCUCCAGACCGGCCCGCGUGAUCCCAGCUGUCUGUCACACGCGGGGACCAGUGGCUGCAGUGGGGACCCCUGCGGUUUGCUGCCCAUCCUGCCUGAAGCAGCAGGUUCAGUGUAAAACAAAAUACAAAAACCCACCUCUUUGUGAGGCUGUUUUGUCGCUUUAUGCCUGCCCUGCUGCUGCUCCUCACACGGCUCCUGUGCAUCCUUAGAGCAGCCAGAUUCUGGGACCAUGGCUCUGUCCCCUACCCCAGCCCUUCGGUCAUUGCUGUGGGGUUUGGCUUUAACCCUGGGGAGGGCAGCGUCAGCGACAGCCCCCCGGGUUCCAGCCCCACCUGGCAGAGCUGCCGUCGUUACACACGUCUACAUGAAAAUGAACCAAUAUGCAUCCGAAGAAGUGGGUUGUAGCCCACGAAAGCUUAUGCUCUAAUAAAUUUGUUAGUCUCUAA